rnacentral:rRNA from 1 species
CUUGACUGUAGCCUGGAAUUGGGUUCGGGCUUUUCUUGCGCAGCCUAGGUGGGAGGCUAUGAAGAUUUCCUUCCGGGGAAGUUGGAGCCAUCAGUGAGAGACCACUCUGGAGAGGCUAGAAUCCUAAUGGUGAUCCUUUGAUCAGGACACUUGACGUUUUCAGGUGGGCAGUUUGUUUGGGGCGAACACCUCAUAAAAGGUAACUGAGGUGCGCAAAGGUUCCCUCAGUCUGGACGGAAAUCAGACAUUGAGUGUAAGGGCAAAAGGGAGCUUGACUGCAAGACCCACAAGUCGAGCAGGAGCGAAAGCUGGCCUUAGUGAUCCGACGGUGCCGUGUGGAAGGGCCGUCGCUCAACGAAUAAAAGUUA